AAAAACUCUAAGCAAGGACUCUGGAGAGCUUCCAGGCUGGUGAACAAACCAGCAUGCUGGGAUGGUAGUUCAUCUGGAUAGGAGCUCACAACAUUUUAAGUUGCAACAUUAAACCGCUGCCCUGUAUGGAACUGCUACCAACUUGCUCUCACCAAAUGUCAAAUACUCAUAAGGAACAGAGGACUUUAAAUUUUCCAUAUAGUUUAAGAUCAAAUAAAGCACAGAAACAGACAAAUGGAUUACUUAACUGAUGAUGGUAGGGGGCCAGAGUGAGAAAAGGAAACGUGUCCGAAGUGACCCUGUAUCUUCUUCACUCUGUCCACAGUUUACCGACCAAAGUA